UGGGGAAUAUUGGACAAUGGGGGAAACCCUGAUCCAGCAAUGCCGCGUGUGUGAAGAAGGCCUGCGGGUUGUAAAGCACUUUUGGCAGGGAAGAAAAGCACUGGCCGAAUACGCCAGUGUGUUGACGUAACCUGCAGAAGAAGCACCGGCUAACUCUGUGCCAGCAGCCGCGGUAAUACAGAGGGUGCAAGCGUUAAUCGGAAUUACUGGGCGUAAAGGGCGCGUAGGCGGUUAGGUAAGUCGGAUGUGAAAUCCCCGGGCUCAACCUGGGAAUUGCAUUCGAUACUGCUUAGCUAGAGUGUGGAAGAGGGAAGCGGAAUUUCCGGUGUAGCGGUGAAAUGCGUAGAUAUCGGAAGGAACACCAGUGGCGAAGGCGGCUUCCUGGUCCAACACUGACGCUGAGGCGCGAAAGCGUGGGGAGCGAACAGG
rnacentral:rRNA from 1 species